AACUCGGCUCGCUCAGCUUGGAUGCGCAUGCGCAAUGGAGAAAGCAUAAACGCUGCUACCCCUUGCAUUCCUUCCGGACUCAGCUGCCUGCCUAUCAUUAAGGAAGGGGCCUUCUCCUAUUUCUCCCCUCUCUAGUCCCGCCUCUUAAUUUGUGAGGGGAAAGUGGGCUGCAUGCCCACUAGAGAACUAUUGGAGGAUUGUGACCUGUUAGGAUCAUAGCCUAUUGAAUGGGCAUGAUCCUGUUAGAGAUGUUAGCCUAUUGCCUAUUGGAUAAUCACUGGUCAUAUAACCAAAUGAAGUAUUAUGACCUGUUAGGAUCAGAUCAGGAGAGAUUUUUUUUUCCGUGUCGAGUUGCUUCUGGAGUGAGAGAAUUGGCCGUCUGCCAGGACGUUGCCCAGGGGACGCCCGGAUGUUUUGAUGUUUUUACCAUCCUUGUGGGAGGCUUCUCUCAUGGAGCUGGAGCUGAUAGAGGGAGCUCAUCCGCGCUCUCCCCGGGUGGGAUUCGAACCUGGCAGCCUUCAGGUCUUGCUUCUCUCUCCUGGAUGAAUGGACUUCAGAGAGGCUGGUCGGUACUGUCCUGAAAACAUAGGAGAACUGUACAAGUGUCUUCCAAUGCAACACAAAGAAAUACAGUCAAGAAAAACAGAUGAAUAUAAUAUACAUGCAAAUUUGAGUGGGCAAAACAUUUUUCAUCAAAAACAUCUAAAAACUGGUUGUGUAUUAGAAACGUCUCCAAGGACCUCCCAAAACUCCCCUUAAAGGCUUUAAAAAAUGAAAUCUGAGAUUAACACGAAGCUGUUUCUUCCCAGCUGAGGUGGGGAAGUCAAUUUCUAGAUGAGGACUACUGCAGGUCCUUGGGACAAAAUAGUGGGACACUGACUCUCAAGUUGGUCACCUGUGUUAUCAGGUAUUUUUUGGAUAUUGGCAUCAACCUGCUAAUAACUAAUUUGUGUGUUGUAUGUAGUUUUCACAAAAGUAGCAAUGUGACUCAAACUAGAUUUUGGGAUGGCCCUCAUCCAAAUUUAUUUCAAUUCUGGUUCACACUGGAUUAGGAACGUUUCCCUCCCCCACACAGACAUUUGUUAUCUCCAUGUGCUUUUAUCAAAAUAGGUGGAUAGAUGCAGAGGCGGUCCAACCAGAAGGCGAAAUAGGCAUUUGCCUGUGGCGCCAUCGUCCCAGGGGCGCCAUCGUCCUGGGAGGAGGGCACCACUCUCCACCUCCUUCUCUUUCGGGCCUUCCAGCGGCCGCGCUGGGCCUUCCGGCCAGCGCAGACUCACCUUCGCACCACGCAAGCCCACCUUUGGGGCCUUCAGAGAUUGUGAGGUCUGUAGGAACUUGGAAGCUAGGUAUGUGGGGUUUAUAUAUCUGUAGAAGGUCCAGGGUGGGAGAAAGAACUUUUCUUUGAAGCAGGUGUGAAUGUUGUAAUUAAUCACCUUGAUUAGCAUUUAAUGGCCCUGUGGCUUCAAGGCCUGGCUUCUUCUUGCCUGGGAGAAUCUUUUUUUGGGAGGAGUUAGCUGUCCCUGAUUGUUUACUGUCUGGAUUUCUUCUGUUUUCAGAGUGUUGUUCUUUAUUUAUUGUCCUGAUUUUAGAGGUUUUUUUUUUUAAUACUGAGGGCUAUCUGGGUUAUCUAAGUCCACACUGCCCUAUAUCCCUGUUCAAUGUUUAGUGCUAAA